CGUGAGUCGGGCGGUCGAGCUCAUGGUGGCUCACGUGGAGAAUCUUAGGAGACGACAUGACAGAAGCGUGGCUGAGCUGGAGGAGGCCAAGAAGGUGAUCCCGUGCAGAAACGUCGUCGACCCCAGAGCAUCUCCAGAGCCAGAGGAAAGUGACAACAGAAGGAAAAGCUCUCAGCAGAACAGCAGUCGACGAAGGAU